CUGUGGGUUGGACUGAGUUUCAUAUGAAUGCUUUCUGACAAUUGUUGUCUCUUGUCAAUCUCUACAAUUGGCUAAGGACCAGCUGUAAGCUCAGUAUCUUACACGACUGCAACAGAAGGAGAUGACAGGCAGUCACGAUGGACUGUAGUGACACAGGUUCCUGAGAAAACAGGCUACUCUCUUGAUGACUUCUGCCUAAAGAUGAAACUCCAGAGAGUGUAUCUGUUGUGGAAAGAGAGGCUGUACGAGCACUGCAGAGCUGAUUCUUUCUCUCAGGCUUUGGAGGAGUGUAGACUCAGAAAAGCUCUGAAAUUAUGGCACCAGAAGUAUCUCAUGCUAAUGAUGAACAAACAAAGUCCUCAGCACUCUCACAGGGCUGUCUAUGAGGAACCUCUUGCUGUGCUUUUUUGUGAGGAACGCUCAACAUCUUCUGGCUUCCACAGCAGUGCUCCAACUACUCUUGCCUCUCAAAGCUC
rnacentral:lncRNA from 1 species